rnacentral:rRNA from 1 species
UACAGAGGUCUCAAGCGUUGUUCGGAUUCAUUGGGCGUAAAGGGUGCGUAGGUGGCGCCAUAAGUCGGGUGUGAAAUCUCGGGGCUUAACUCCGAAACUGCAUUCGAUACUGUGGUGCUUGAGGACUGGAGAGGAGACUGGAAUUCAUGGUGUAGCAGUGAAAUGCGUAGAGAUCAUGAGGAAGACCAGUGGCGAAGGCGGGUCUCUGGACAGUUCCUGGCACUGAGGCACGAAGGCCAGGGGAGCAAACGGG